AGAGUUUGAUCCUGGCUCAGGAUGAACGCUGGCGGCGUGCCUAAUACAUGCAAGUCGAGCGAACGGACGAGAAGCUUGCUUCUCUGAUGUUAGCGGCGGACGGGAGAGUAACACGUGGAUAACCUACCUAUAAGACUGGGAUAACUUCGGGAAACCGGAGCUAAUACCGGAUAAUAUUUUGAACCGCAUGGUUCAAAAGUGAAAGACGGUCUUGCUGUCACUUAUAGAUGGAUCCGCGCUGCAUUAGCUAGUUGGUAAGGUAACGGCUUACCAAGGCAACGAUGCAUAGCCGACCUGAGAGGGUGAUCGGCCACACUGGAACUGAGACACGGUCCAGACUCCUACGGGAGGCAGCAGUAGGGAAUCUUCCGCAAUGGGCGAAAGCCUGACGGAGCAACGCCGCGUGAGUGAUGAAGGUCUUCGGAUCGUAAAACUCUGUUAUUAGGGAAGAACAUAUGUGUAAGUAACUGUGCACAUCUUGACGGUACCUAAUCAGAAAGCCACGGCUAACUACGUGCCAGCAGCCGCGGUAAUACGUAGGUGGCAAGCGUUAUCCGGAAUUAUUGGGCGUAAAGCGCGCGUAGGCGGUUUUUUAAGUCUGAUGUGAAAGCCCACGGCUCAACCGUGGAGGGUCAUUGGAAACUGGAAAACUUGAGUGCAGAAGAGGAAAGUGGAAUUCCAUGUGUAGCGGUGAAAUGCGCAGAGAUAUGGAGGAACACCAGUGGCGAAGGCGACUUUCUGGUCUGUAACUGACGCUGAUGUGCGAAAGCGUGGGGAUCAAACAGGAUUAGAUACCCUGGUAGUCCACGCCGUAAACGAUGAGUGCUAAGUGUUAGGGGGUUUCCGCCCCUUAGUGCUGCAGCUAACGCAUUAAGCACUCCGCCUGGGGAGUACGACCGCAAGGUUGAAACUCAAAGGAAUUGACGGGGACCCGCACAAGCGGUGGAGCAUGUGGUUUAAUUCGAAGCAACGCGAAGAACCUUACCAAAUCUUGACAUCCUUUGACAACUCUAGAGAUAGAGC
rnacentral:rRNA from 2 species